rnacentral:rRNA from 1 species
UACGUAGGGGGCAAGCGUUGUCCGGAAUCAUUGGGCGUAAAGCGCGUGUAGGCGGUCCGGUAAGUCCGCUGUGAAAGUCGGGGGCUUACCUACGAUGCCGGUGGAUACUGUCGGGCUUGAGUACGGAAGAGGCGAGUGGAAUUCCUGGUGUAGCGGUGAAAUGCGUAGAUAUCAGGAGGAACACCGGUGGCGAAGGCGGUCUCUGGGCUA